UCUGACUGUGUUUAGGGCGGUUCCGCAGACAAGGCGAAUUGUAGACGUGCAAAACCGAUGAAAAGUAUUUUGAAAUAGAAAAAAAAAAAUUUUAUUCAAUAAAAUAAUUUUAUUUUUUAUUUCAAUUGUUAAUUUUUUUUUAUAUAAUAAUAUAAAAAUAAAAAAAAUAAAAUAUAAUUAUUAAAUAAUUUAAAAGAAAAGUAAAAUAAAAACUCUAUAAGAAGAAAAAAAUUAUCAAAAAAAAAAUUUAAUUAAAAUUUAAUAUAAGUUGUUAACAAGCAAAAAAGAAAAGGAUCUAGUUAGAAAAUAAAAACUGUAUUAAAAGUGAAUUCAAAACAAUAUUUUGUAUAUGGAAAAUUAAUUUAAACAAGAAAAACAAAAACAAAAUACACAAAAGUUCUAAAAAAAAAGAAAUUAAUUACAGAAAAGUUCUAAAUAUCCAAAAAAAAAAUUACUUUUAAAAAAUAAAAGUUAAAGUUAAAAUUAAAAAAAAAAAAACGAAAUAUCAAAAGCGAAUGAAAAAAAAAUUAUUAAACUUAAAAAAAAAAAUUUUUAGAAAAAAAAAAUGCUCUUUGAAAUUUCCAAUACAAUUUAAAAUUCGUGCAUCUGUUUCAUUUAAUUUCAUAAAAAAUAAAUAAAAAUAAUAAAAAAAUAAAAAGAAAUUUUAAAUAUGAUGUGUGCCUUUUAAAAAAUAAAUCUUAGACAAAACAAAAAGGAAUAAAAAACGAAUAAAAAAGUUGAAUUUUUCUAGAAAACAAAAAAAAAAAAAGGAAAUGCCCGAAUAGAAUUUUGGAUAAAAAGAUAUAAAAAAAAAUAAUAAUAUUGAAAUUUAUAAAAAUUAAAAAAUUAAAAUGGAUUACAUAAGUUAGUAAUGCCGAAACGGAGACAAAAUUAAUGUUAACUGCUCUGUUUAAAGAAAGAAAAAAGG